UACGGGGGGAGCAAGCGUUGUUCGGAUUUACUGGGCGUAAAGGGCGCGUAGGCGGCCACCGCAGGUCAGUUGUGAAAGCUCUGGGCUUAACCCAGAAAGGUCAACUGAUACUGCGGGGCUAGAGUGCAGAAGGGGCAACUGGAAUUCUCGGUGUAGCGGUGAAAUGCGUAGAUAUCGAGAGGAACACCUGCGGCGAAGGCGGGUUGCUGGGCUGACACUGACGCUGAGGCGCGAAAGCCAGGGGAGCAAACGGG
rnacentral:rRNA from 1 species